CCUACGGGAGGCAGCAGUGGGGAAUCUUGCGCAAUGGGCGAAAGCCUGACGCAGCCAUGCCGCGUGAAUGAUGAAGGUCUUAGGAUUGUAAAAUUCUUUCAGUAGGGACGAUAAUGACGGUACCUACAGAAGAAGCCCCGGCUAACUUCGUGCCAGCAGCCGCGGUAAUACGAAGGGGGCUAGCGUUGCUCGGAAUUACUGGGCGUAAAGGGAGCGUAGGCGGACAUUUAAGUCAGGGGUGAAAUCCCAGAGCUCAACUCUGGAACUGCCUUUGAUACUGGGUGUCUUGAGUGUGAUAGAGGUAUGUGGAACUCCGAGUGUAGAGGUGAAAUUCGUAGAUAUUCGGAAGAACACCAGUGGCGAAGGCGACAUACUGGAUCAUUACUGACGCUGAGGCUCGAAAGCGUGGGGAGCAAACAGGAUUAGAUACCCUGGUAGUCCACGCCGUAAACGAUGAUGUCUAGUUGUCGGUAGUAGUUACUAUCUCGGUGACGCAGCUACGCAUAAGUACAAUACCGCCGUCGGGGUAGGUACGGUCGCGAAGAAGUUAAAACUAACAAAUAGAAGUUAGACGGCGUGAGACGUAGACCGAACGGACGACGACGAGGGAGGUUAGG
rnacentral:rRNA from 1 species